GAACGCACCUUGCACCCUUUGGCAUUCCGAAGGGUAUGCUCGUUUGAGUGUCAUUGUACUCUCACACUCUCCAAUCCUCUGGAUCCGGGGAGUGGUGGACUUGGGCGUCUGCUGCUUGACCGUGGCUCGCUUUAAAUGGAUUAGUGCAACUCUUGGUUGGACAUAGUACGGCGUGAUAAGUGUCUUCGCCGGCACCUCGGAAGAGGGUGACUGAUUGAGAGCUCUGUGCUUCAAACUGUCUUCGGACAACCUCUGACAAAUUGACCUCAAAUCGAGUAGGACUACCCGCUGAACUUA
rnacentral:misc_RNA from 1 species